rnacentral:lncRNA from 14 species
UUUAAAGCAGCAUGCAACACAGAUCAUUAAAGCAUUCUAUAUUCUUUUUAUUUAACAGAAUAUCAGCAAUUAGCUUUUCCAGCUAAUUACUGGAUUCUACAACUGACUCUUCAAAAAGCUAUGAGGUUUAAGGCCUUUAUGUCAAGCUCUGGGUAAAGAGUUCCACAUGCCAAGAGGAGAAGCACCGUAUUCAGUUCAGGUCACUGUUUCUUCUCUUCAGCAAGGGAAAUGGAUCUGCAGCUCAUCUCUGGCUGUAGGUGAACAUUUAUAUCUGUUUGAAAUGCUCCUUCCCCGCAAAGAUGCUGGAUACCCACCUCCACGACUGGAAUUGAUGUCCUACGUCCAUCCUGUCCACGCUCAUUUAUUCUGACACUCAGAGAAUGCUCCAUGACUGAUGACACUGCAAAAGAGAAAAGCCGUGAUUAGGGCAUGGAACCUGAAGUGAUUAGGACAUGGAAGCUGAAGCAAACUACUGAGUAUCUAUUUUGUUCAAAAACUCUGAAAUAAUUUUUUCUUCUUCCUCAUCAUCAUUUUUCCAGCCAUAUGGAUUUGCCAGUUCACUGCAUCAAUGCAUGUUUAUAACACAGCAUUUCUUCAGCAGCUGUCACUAUCUCAUAUUGCCAUAGUACAUCUUGCGUGCUGAAUUACAGGCCACAAUAUGAUAGAAAACAGCUUACACUUAAAGAAAUAAAGACCUUCUCUUGACAUCCA